rnacentral:rRNA from 1 species
UUCGGGAAACCGGAGCUAAUACCGGAUAAUAUAUUGAACCGCAUGGUUCAAUAGUGAAAGACGGGUUUUGCUGUCACUUAUAGAUGGAUCCGCGCCGCAUUAGCUAGUUGGUAAGGUAACGGCUUACCAAGGCAACGAUGCGUAGCCGACCUGAGAGGGUGAUCGGCCACACUGGAACUGAGACACGGUCCAG